UAAAGCUGUGACAUCUGGUCUACGUGAUGGCUUACUUUGUAUAUAUUGUGUUUUGACCAAAGUUCAGUGGCAUCACACGUCUUUAAGACCACAGGUGACAUCACACGUCUUUAAGACCACAGGUGACAUCACACGUCUUUAAGACCACAGGUGACAUCACACAUCUUUAAGACCACAGGUGACAUCACACGUCUUUAAGACCACAGGUGACAUCACACGUCUUUAAGACCACAGGUGACAUCACACGUCUUUAAGACCACAGGUGACAUCACACAUCUUUAAGACCACAGGUGACAUCACACAACAUUGUCUAAGACAGUUUUUUUGGGUAAAUCUUUACCGCCUUUCUUGCAUAUUAUUA